rnacentral:rRNA from 1 species
CAGUCGCCGCGGUAAUACGGGGGAUCCAAGCGUUAUCCGGAAUCAUUGGGUUUAAAGGGUCCGUAGGCGGUCUUGUAAGUCAGUGGUGAAAGCCCAUCGCUCAACGGUGGAACGGCCAUUGAUACUGCAGGACUUGAAUUAUUGGGAAGUAACUAGAAUAUGUAGUGUAGCGGUGAAAUGCUUAGAGAUUACAUGGAAUACCAAUUGCGAAGGCAGGUUACUACCAAUUGAUUGACGCUGAUGGACGAAAGCGUGGGUAGCGAACAGGAUUAGAUACCCCAGUAGUCCCUGUCUUUUAUAC